UGGGGAAUAUUGCACAAUGGGCGCAAGCCUGAUGCAGCAACGCCGCGUGAGGGAUGACGGCCUUCGGGUUGUAAACCUCUUUUAGCAGGGAAGAAGCGAAAGUGACGGUACCUGCAGAAAAAGCACCGGCUAACUACGUGCCAGCAGCCGCGGUAAUACGUAGGGUGCAAGCGUUGUCCGGAAUUAUUGGGCGUAAAGAGCUCGUAGGCGGUCUGUCGCGUCUGCUGUGAAAUCCCGAGGCUCAACCUCGGGCCUGCAGUGGGUACGGGCAGACUAGAGUGCGGUAGGGGAGAAUGGAACUCCUGGUGUAGCGGUGGAAUGCGCAGAUAUCAGGAAGAACACCGAUGGCGAAGGCAGUUCUCUGGGCCGUAACUGACGCUGAGGAGCGAAAGCGUGGGGAGCGAACAGGAUUAGAUACCCUGGUAGUCCACGCCGUAAACGUUGGGCGCUAGAUGUGGGGACCAUUCCACGGUUUCCGUGUCGCAGCUAACGCAUUAAGCGCCCCGCCUGGGGAGUACGGCCGCAAGGCUAAAACUUAAAUGAAUUGACGGGGUCAUAGCUGUUCCU
rnacentral:rRNA from 1 species